AUGAACGCUAGCUACAGGCUUAACACAUGCAAGUCGAGGGGCAGCAUGAACUUAGCUUGCUAAGUUUGAUGGCGACCGGCGCACGGGUGAGUAACACGUAUCCAACCUGCCGAUGACUCGGGGAUAGCCUUUCGAAAGAAAGAUUAAUACCCGAUGGCAUAGUUCUUCCGCAUGGUAGAACUAUUAAAGAAUUUCGGUCAUCGAUGGGGAUGCGUUCCAUUAGGUUGUUGGCGGGGUAACGGCCCACCAAGCCUUCGAUGGAUAGGGGUUCUGAGAGGAAGGUCCCCCACAUUGGAACUGAGACACGGUCCAAACUCCUACGGGAGGCAGCAGUGAGGAAUAUUGGUCAAUGGACGAGAGUCUGAACCAGCCAAGUAGCGUGAAGGAUGACUGCCCUAUGGGUUGUAAACUUCUUUUAUACGGGAAUAAAGUGAGGCACGUGUGCCUUUUUGUAUGUACCGUAUGAAUAAGGAUCGGCUAACUCCGUGCCAGCAGCCGCGGUAAUACGGAGGAUCCGAGCGUUAUCCGGAUUUAUUGGGUUUAAAGGGAGCGUAGGCGGACGCUUAAGUCAGUUGUGAAAGUUUGCGGCUCAACCGUAAAAUUGCAGUUGAUACUGGGUGUCUUGAGUACAGUAGAGGCAGGCGGAAUUCGUGGUGUAGCGGUGAAAUGCUUAGAUAUCACGAAGAACUCCGAUUGCGAAGGCAGCUUGCUGGACUGUAACUGACGCUGAUGCUCGAAAGUGUGGGUAUCAAACAGGAUUAGAUACCCUGGUAGUCCACACAGUAAACGAUGAAUACUCGCUGUUUGCGAUAUACAGUAAGCGGCCAAGCGAAAGCGUUAAGUAUUCCACCUGGGGAGUACGCCGGCAACGGUGAAACUCAAAGGAAUUGACGGGGGCCCGCACAAGCAGUGGAGUAUGUGGUUUAAUUCGACGCAACGCGAAGAACCUUACCGGGAUUUGACAUCCUACUAACGAAGUAGAGAUACAUUAGGUGCCCUUCGGGGAAAGUAGAGACAGGUGGUGCAUGGUUGUCGUCAGCUCGUGUCGUGAGAUGUUGGGUUAAGUCCCGCAACGAGCGCAACCCUUGCUAUUAGUUGCUACGCAAGAGCACUCUAAUAGGACUGCCGUUGACAAAACGGAGGAAGGUGGGGACGACGUCAAAUCAUCAUGCCCCUUAUGACCUGGGCUACACACGUACUACAAUGGACAUUAACAGAGGGAAGCAAUACAGCGAUGUGGAGCAAACCCCUAAAAAUGUUCUCAGUUCAGAUUGCAGGCUGCAACUCGCCUGCAUGAAGUCGGAAUUGCUAGUAAUCGCGGAUCAGCAUGCCGCGGUGAAUACGUUCCCGGGCCUUGUACACACCGCCCGUCACACCAUGAGAGUCGGGAACACCCGAAGUCCGUAGUCUAACCGCAAGGAGGGCGCGGCCGAAGGUGGGUUCGAUAAUUGGGGUG
rnacentral:rRNA from 1 species